AAAAAGACGAUCCUUCGUUUAGCAAUGGCGUCGUCUACUACUCCUCGGGCCUUAGAUCAGCUUGUAAGGGACGGACUCAGUAGCUUGGUGUUUGCUUUUGGUUACCAGACUGGAAUAGUUGAUGCCUUCAUUAACGUUCGACAACCUUGUACGGCGGAAGAACUAAGUCAAAAAGCGGGCAAAAAACUAAGAUACAUACAAGAAUGGCUGGGAUGCCUGGUCGCAGCUGGAAUCGUAACCAUUAAUGAGGAGGGAAAAUAUUCUCUACCUUUCGAAACAAAUCAGUUAAAGCUAUGGGGGCACAUUUCAACGGUCAUCCCUAUUCUUAGCCAGAUCUUUCCUCAACUUCAAAAUGCAGUGUCACAUGAGGGACCUGAAGGAUUUUGGUAUUCUGAGCCAUUUUUGAGUUGGAUCAACACGAGUCAUUCACAAGAAGAUCUUGAUCAGUGGAGUAAACAAUUUCUUGCCCCUGUUUUGAAACUAAAACCAGGUUUGCAGUCAUCUAUAAUAUUCAAAACUUCUAUAUAUCUUAAAGAAUAUUAUCUGAGUGAAAUACAACCUGAAAAAAGUAAGAAGUUGCGGGAAUGAUAUAUUACUUUAUAGGUUGCAAGUUUACAAUACUGGACUUUGGUUGUGGCUAUGGACGGCAUACGAGAGCAAUGGCAAAACAAUAUCCAGACUCUAAAAUAUACGCAUUUGACAUGGAUCAGGUCUCUAUAUCUUAUGCCAAUAAAGUGCUCUCAAAAGACGGCCCAAAAAACAUCGAGUACUUAUGCAAGAGAGGAGGACAACUUCCAGACGACUGGUCCGAAAAGUUUGAUUUCAUUAUCAUCAACGAUGUUCUACAUGAUUCUUUUGAAGUAGACGCGAUACUAGAAGAGAUAAAAAGAGUCAUUAAACCUGAUGGCUUCGCAGUUGCUUUUGACCCGGCUGUUUCAUCGUACCAUAGAAAUCUUAUCAACGAUAAAGAAGCCCAGCUCCAUUUACCUUUUAGUUUAUUUACGUGCCUUCCUACAAGUAGUAUAAAUUCUUCAAAAGAAGGGCUAGGUAUUGGCUGGGGGUAUGAACGCCGGAAACAGAAGAUUGAAGACCAUGGUUUUCGGGUUGUGCAAGUCGGAGAUAAAGAUAUUGAUACCAUACAGGAGGGUAUUGUCUUUCAGAAGUUGUAAAACAAUGUUUUUUUUCUGUAUUGGGCGAACAUACUUAUACGCAAAAGUUAUAUUUUUGUUUAUUUUAGGGUCUGUAUCGAUAAAGUGUACUUGUAUUUUUAACUACCUUACAUUUUCAAGUAUGAAUAAUAAAGCAAUAAAGCAAUAAAU
rnacentral:misc_RNA from 1 species